GACGAACGCUGGCGGCGUGCUUAACACAUGCAAGUCGAGCGGAGCGGCGAACGGGUGAGUAACGCGUGAGUAACUGCCCCCCUCUCUGGGAUAACAGUUGGAAACGGCUGCUAAUACCGGCUAGUGGGGGAUGACUCGCGUCCAAUCAGCUUGUUGGUGGGGUAGUGGCCUACCAAGGCGACGACGGGUAGCCGGCCUGAGAGGGGGAACGGCCACAUGGGGCUGAGAUACGGCCCAAAAGCCAACGGGGGGCAGAGGGGGGGAGUAUGGCCCAAUGGGGGCACCCCGGAGGCAGCAACGCGGGGGGGGGAGGACGGGUUGCGGGUUGAAAACCGCUUUCAGCCAGGACGCGGUAGGGGAAGAAGAAGCACCGGCUAACUACGUGCCAGCAGCCGCGGUAAUAC
rnacentral:rRNA from 1 species